CGAAAACGCAGCUUUUAUUUAAUAAAAAGAUGCACGAGGUUCCCUUUUCGUCCGUGAUGUUAAAGUUAAAGUCGGAUUUAAGGUUUAGACCAGAGUCGAUCGGCGGCGUUCAUAAUCAUUUCUGUGGAAUGUCCUCACGAGGAUAGUGCAAGUAGUACAAGGGCGUGGGUGUGUGCGUGUGCGUGUGCGUGUAAGUGUGCGUGCAAGUGUGUGUCAAUGAACAGAGGAAAAAAAACAGAUAGAGAAACAAUUAUUAAUUAUUUUGAGCAAGUCAAGGAGCACUUGAGUGACAGAUUAUUUCCGUGUGUGUGUGUGUGUGAAUGAAUAUCAGGAAUGAAUAAAUAGUAAAAUGCGACACAGCACUAUCAUCUCUCAGUGAUGUUGCCUUAAUGUCCUUGGUGCUUGAAUUCAUGAGAAGAAACUCCUUUAAAAAAUAAAAUCCUUUCCACACUAACCUGUUUGAAUCCUUUUCUUUUCACUGCCUCCGCUCGCUCCUGGCGUAGGUGUGUUUGUGUCACAGUGUUUGGCUACGUUCACAUUCCUGUGCUCCGGGGCUCGGCUGACAGCUCAUCAUCCGUUCACGAUCGGGUCAAGGUCCUGUUUUUACUCCUAUUGAAGGUUUCUCAGCUGCCGACGGACGAUGACGACGACGGCAGCGAUGUGCACGCGCGCAGCACGACGCCCUGAAUCUCUCAGCAUCACAGGUUGUAGUUGCAUCAGGACAUUUUUAGUCAAGAUCAGUGUCACAUUUGUGGCAGUUUAACUUUGUAAUGCGAAGGAGAUUGCUCUCACGGUGGAAUGAACAUCUCAGAGUUUGAGCUUGACCUAUCUGUCACGCGCACACGAGAGAAACCGCCGUCCGGAGAUCUAGCGCAGCUGUGAUUGAACAAGCAUGGCAGUGGAGUUAGCGUGAGGGAAGGAAUAAAAGAGGAGGAGAACGAUUCUAACAGGAGAGAGAGGUUUAACAGGACCCUCUGUGUUAAGCAAAGCUGACUCGAUCCGGCAGGUGGAAAGUUUAAUGCAAAACAAGGGAUGAAGCAUUUCUACAGCGCUGUCGAAGGACUCGGAGCUUUGACUGAAGAAACCAGACCCGAUACCGUACCUUCGGACGAGGCCGAUUUUACGAGGCACAAAGCCCCGCCCCUAAACACCCAUCCGAAACAGGAGCGUAACAGAGGUGGUACGCAGUCUGCGAAGUGUGUAACAUCCAGCUGAACUCGGCCGCACAGGCGCAGAUACACUACAACGGGAAAACCCACCAGAAGAGACUGAAACACAUGAACAGCGGAAACAAAGGUAGGACGCACACGCGUUUGGGUUUGAGCGGCGAGCUAUACACAGCAUCGUAGGUUUUAAUCGCGGUGUCGGUGCAGAACUCAAAGCAUUUCCUACAUGAGGAGUGUUCAUUCGCUGCACAGCGUGAAGCACAGGUUUCACAUUUCACCUCAGUUUAGGAGGAGGAGACCGCCGCCUCCUGUUCGUUCCUGAUCAACACCUAGAAAACUAGUCUGUCCAGCUCAUGUCUGAGAGAAUGAAAUACAGAGCACGAUGGAUCGGUUCAUAAAAUCGACUCUUCCAUCAUGCAUCCCGAACCACAUGGUAUACUUGUUAGUUCAUGUCGCUAGUCAUGUUGUGUAUGAUUCCUCAGCGUCAAUCACAUAAAGUUACAAUGAGUGAAUUUAGAAGGGGCGGGGCAUGGUGGUUUAGUGGGUAGCAUGUUUGCUUCACACCUCCAGGGUUGUGGGUUCGAACCCCACCUCGACCUCGUGCGCGCGGAGCUCGCAUGUUCUCGCCG
ensembl:lncRNA